rnacentral:rRNA from 1 species
UGGGGAAUCUUGGACAAUGGGCGCAAGCCUGAUCCAGCAAUGCCGCGUGGGUGAAGACGGCCUGCGGGUUGUAAAGCCCUUUUGGCGGGGAAGAAAGCCCUGGGUUAAACAGACUCAGGGGGUGACGUUACCCGCUGAAGAAGCACCGGCCAACUCCGUGCCAGCAGCCGCGGUAAUACGGAGGGUGCGAGCGUUAAUCGGAAUUACUGGGCGUAAAGCGCACGUAGGCGGUGAGUUAAGUCAGUUGUGAAAGCCCUGGGCUCAACCUGGGAACGGCAAUUGAUACUGACCGACUGGAGUGUAACAGAGGACCGUGGAAUUCCCGGUGUAGUGGUGAAAUGCGUAGAGAUCGGGAAGAACACCGAUGGCGAAGGCAGCGGUCUGGGUUAACACUGACGCUGAGGUGCGACAGCGUGGGGAGCAAACAGGAUUAGAUACCCUGGUAGUCCACGCCGUAAACGAUGAGAACUAGACGCUGGGUGGGUAACUGCUCGGUGUCGGAGCUAACGCGUUAAGUUCUCCGCCUGGGGAGUACGGCCGCAAGGUUG